rnacentral:rRNA from 1 species
UACAGAGGGUGCAAGCGUUAAUCGGAAUUACUGGGCGUAAAGCGUGCGCAGGCGGCUUUGCAAGACAGAUGUGAAAUCCCCGGGCUCAACCUGGGAACUGCAUUUGUGACUGCAAGGCUAGAGUACGGCAGAGGGGGAUGGAAUUCCGCGUGUAGCAGUGAAAUGCGUAGAUAUGCGGAGGAACACCGAUGGCGAAGGCAAUCCCCUGGGCCUGUACUGACGCUCAUGCACGAAAGCGUGGGGAGCAAACAGG